AUCCAGCUGACGAGUCCCAAAUAGAACGAAACACGCGUCUUGGAU
rnacentral:hammerhead_ribozyme from 1 species